rnacentral:lncRNA from 1 species
CACUAUCGAUGUUCCUUUUAAACAAGUAUUUGAGUAAAAGCGAUGUUUCCAAUGUGUGUCAGAAAGUGAAUACUUGUAUAUUUCCGCAUGGUUAGAGCUGAGCUUUCCGAGCAAAUUUUACUGGGACCCGGUUGAAAGACAGGUCUUGGAAGUGAAAUGAUGACUGACUAGAUGAAACUGCCAGACUGUCUUCCGAAGUGGCUAUAAUAUUUACACUCACAUCAGCAGUGUUUAAAGGGAAGAUUGCUUUCAGUUUCUGAAUACCCAUGGAAGGACAUGGUUAUAUUAUGUCAUAUCAUUAUAUCUGACCCAGUUUCUAAGGAUCCAGUUGCUGAUAUAAAUCCGAGAGAAGGGGUCUCACUAUGUUGUCUGGAGUGCAGUGGCUGGAGUGGAGUGGCUAUUCACAGCUGAGUUUGCAGAGUAAACCACUACCCUGAAAUCUGGAAAGGCAGGUGCACCCAUAGAUCCUCAGCUGAGAUCCAAUUACCUGAAAUAGAAGCUGCCAUUAGGAACACUUAAAAGAGCCUGUUCUGCUGGGACACAGAAUCACUUGCUCCAUCUCAUACAUUGAUGAUGAUUAAUUUGUAUGUGUACCUUCCAAAAAAAGAUGGUUGUGUUUGAACGGAGGCCUUCUGGACAGGAAAAUAUGGAGAGUGCGUGCUUUGGAUUCAAGACUGGGAAUGAGGGGACCAGAAACCUAUUCUGUGGCUGU